UGAAAAACGACGUCUCCGUACUAUUUCAUUCCCCAUAAAUAAAGAUUCUUCUCCCAGGCUUUGUUCUUGCUCUUCCCCAUUUGUUCCUUAGCAGGAAGAAGAAGAAGUUGUGAAAUUAUUAUAUGGAUAGGCCACCAGUACUCCAGGAGGAGGAGGAGGCUUCUUUGGAGCACACCAGGGAAUCUCUGAUUGCUAUUUCUAAUUGCUGUCAACCAGACAAGAUUAAUAAAAAUCAUGUUAACACCAAAGAGAAAGCCGUUGAUGAUGAACAAGUGAGGUCUAAAUUGAUUUCAAUUUCUUACAUGCUUGCUAAUGCUGACGAGGUUGUCUAGUACCUUACUGUUUAUUAUGUUUGAUGAUAUUAUUAUUAUGUGUAACAAACAAUUUGAACUCAUUGCUUUCAAUCAACAUUAAUAUUCUACUUUCUUA